rnacentral:tRNA from 1 species
AACAUAGAAGUAAAAUUUACAUUUAGUUUCGGCCUAAAAUUAGGUUUAAUGCCCAUGUUU